rnacentral:rRNA from 1 species
CGUUGAGCUAACCGGUACUAAUGAACCAUGAGGCUUAACCUUACAACGCCGAAGC